CGACGCUUCCGUGCGUACGUGUGUGGAGGUGCGCAUGACGGCACUGACGGCAACCAACCCCCCAUCUUUCCACACUCCGCACGAGCUGAGGAUUGCCCAACGCCAGAGGCUCACCACUGCGGCACUCCUCUCCUUUCCUCACUCUCAUCCUAUCGAGCUGACAUCGCAGCACUUGAUCACAUAUAUCGAGCGCACAGGGACACAAGGGACACACACACACACACAUAUGCACACCGCCCCCACUGCCACCCCUCUCUGUCCAUCUCACGGUGCUUAUCUUUCCUUUUUUUGGCGGAUCCUUCAGCAGCAGCAUCACCAUCACACAGCGGCACUGACGACAUACAAGGUACGGUGUACAGCCAUUCCCUCUCUCUGCCACGUGACGUCGUCAUAGUCGCCCACUGCGCACCUCACCUGCCUCUCCCAUUACUCGAUUGGGCGCUGUGCUUCAUCUCGAGUGCCUGGCGAACUCUUCCCACCCUAUCAACAUAUUUGACGAUUGCCCAUGUGUGUGCGCCCUGUGCGCUCUCUGCGAGCGAACUAUGCGCUUCUCCCGUGUGUCGGUGCCGGGCAUCAAGCGCGUCAUCACCAUCUGUAGCGCCAAGGGCGGUGUUGGCAAGUCCACCACCUCCGUCAAUGUCGCUCUUGCGCUGAAGAACAUGGGACACAGCGUCGGCCUCGUCGACGCAGACAUAACAGGGCCGUCCAUCCCUACGAUGAUGGGGGUGGAAAGCUCCCAGGUCGAGACGUACCGCGUCGCCGGCAGCGACCGUUUCGGCCCCCCCAUGAACUUCGGCGUGAAAGUGAUGAGCAUGGGGCUCAUUGUCCCGUAUGACGAGGCCAUCGCCGUGCGCGGGCCGAUGGUGAACAAGUACAUCCGCGCCCUGCUCUUCCAAACGGAUUGGGAGGAACUAGACUACCUCCUCAUCGACAUGCCGCCCGGCACCAACGACGUGCAUCUCACGAUCACGCAGGAGGUCAUGCUCUCUGGCGCCGUGAUUGUCUCGACGCCGCAGAAGGUGGCACUCAUCGAUGUGCGGCGCGGCAUCGACAUGUUCGCGGCCGUCAACGCGCCGGUGCUGGGGCUUGUGGAGAACAUGAGCUACUUUAAGUGCGAUAGCUGUGACAAGCGGCAUUACAUGUUCGGCCGCGACGGCGUGGCACGCGCGGCGGAGGAGCUGGGAGUGCCGUUUCUGGGUGAAAUUCCGUUCUUGAGUCGCAUUAUGCAGGACACCGACGAGGGUGUACCCCCCGCACUGCGCGGGGAUGCGACGUUGGAGGCGGCGAAGCCGUACUACGAGCUUGCCGAGCGCAUCCACGCGACGUUGGGCGAGAGCGAGAGGAACAGGGCCGGCGACGGCAGCGGGAAGGAUGUCGGUCAACGCGCUCCUGCCCCCGAGCCGACCAUCGUAUUUGAGUGAAAGGCGCGCAGUGCGAAGGCGCAGGAACAAAACAGCAA
rnacentral:misc_RNA from 1 species